GACGAACGCUGGCGGCGUGCUUAACACAUGCAAGUCGAGCGGUAAGGCCCUUUCGGGGGUACACGAGCGGCGAACGGGUGAGUAACACGUGGGUGACCUGCCCUCAGCUCUGGGAUAAGCCCGGGAAACUGGGUCUAAUACUGGAUAUUACUCUGCGGCGCAUGCCGUGGGGUGGAAAGCCUUGUGCGGCUGGGGAUGGGCCCGCGGCCUAUCAGCUUGUUGGUGGGGUGAUGGCCACCAAGGCGACGACGGGUAGCCGGCCUGAGAGGGCGACCGGCCACACUGGGACUGAGACACGGCCCAGACUCCUACGGGAGGCAGCAGUGGGGAAUCUUGCGCAAUGGCGAAAGCCUGACGCAGCGACGCCGCGUGAGGGAUGACGGCCU
rnacentral:rRNA from 1 species